rnacentral:rRNA from 2 species
UAAGAAUUUAAAAGUCGAACAGACUUAUUUUUUAAGAAUACUGCUUCUUAAAAUAUUCUUAAUUCAACAUCGAGGUCGCAAAAUACAAUAUAGAUAAGAACUCCCCAUUGAAAUUACGCUGUUAUCCCUAAGGUAACUAAAUCUUACUAUCCCAUUAAGGAUCAAAAACUACAUAAAUAAAUGAACUUAAAAACUAAAGUUAAUAUUUAAUUGCCACCCCAGCAAAAUAUAAAUAAACAUUAAGAAAUAUAUAAGUAAAAUUUUAUAACAUAUAACUAUAUAAAGUUCUAUAGGGUCUUAUCGUCCCAAUAAACUAAUAAAGCAUUUUAACUUUAAAUUUAAAUUUUAACAUUUAAAGAAAUAAAAUAUCCCUCUCAUUCAUCCAUUCAUACAAGCUCCUAAUUAAGAAACUAAUUACUAUGCUACCUUUGCACAGUCAAAAUACUGCAGCCAUUUAGAUACUAAACCAUAGGGCAGAAGAUACCUUUCAUAAAAUCA